CAGCUCAAGGACGACGAACUCGUCGAGUAUAUCCUCGCUGGACUUGAUGAGGAGUUCUCUCCGCUGGUCUCAUCCUUGAUCACUAGAACGGAACCAGUUUCUCUUGAGGAACUUUUCUCACAGCUCCUUGCAUUUGAGA